GACGAACGCUGGCGGCGUGCCUAAUACAUGCAAGUAGAACGCUGAAGGAGGAGCUUGCUUCUCUGGAUGAGUUGCGAACGGGUGAGUAACGCGUAGGUAACCUGCCUGGUAGCGGGGGAUAACUAUUGGAAACGAUAGCUAAUACCGCAUAAUAGUAGAUGUCGCAUGACAUUUGCUUAAAAGGUGCACUUGCAUCACUACCAGAUGGCCCUGCGUUGUAUUAGCUAGUUGGUGAGGUAACGGCUCACCAAGGCAACGAUACAUAGCCGACCUGAGAGGGUGAUCGGCCACACUGGGACUGAGACACGGCCCAGAAUCCUACGGGAGGCAGCAGUAGGGAAACUUCGGCAAUGGACGGAAGGCUGACCGAACAACGCCGCGUGAGUGAAGAAGGUUUUCGGAUCGUAAAGCUCUGUUGUAAGAGAAGAACGAGUGUGAGAGUGGAAAGUUCACACUGUGACGGUAUCUUACCAGAAAGGGACGGCUAACUACGUG
rnacentral:rRNA from 1 species